rfam:Sugiyamaella lignohabitans strain CBS 10342 chromosome B, complete sequence.
GGCCCGAUGGUUUAGGGGUAUAAUACUCGCUUAGGGCAUUUAAACCUAAGUUAAUUUGCGAGUGGUCCCGGGUUCGAUUCCCGGUUGGGCCC